AAAUACAUUAUUUGUAUUCAUGAAGUGAAAUAGUGAUCCUAUAGCUGGACACAUACAUUAGAAAUUAUCUCAUACUUGUCAGAAAAGAUUGCCUGGGCAUUUUCAGUUUUGUUGACCAGUUUGGGGGGAUUUGGGGACGGGAUAUUGUCUCUGGUUUGCUCAGAUUUCUGUUGUGGAAUAAAUGAGUAGUCAUGGGAACCAUUGUAUUUCACUGGGUCAUCAUCGUAGCUGAGAAUGUUUUUCUUUGAAGCAAUUAAAUUUGUAGCCUGUAGCCUUGAACAUGUUUGUGUGUUGUGUCAUUUUUGUAUUUUCAUCCCUAGUAGCAAUGACUCAGGACUAAAUCACCCUUUUGCAGGAAUUACCUAUAAAGGAAACUGGAAACUCCAUGGAAUCUCUCUGUCAUCUUUACCUCCAGAUGGUGCCUCCAAAUCUCUUCUGAAAGAGCUUGUGCAGAGCAGAGUUGUUACAUUAAAUCACCACAGAGUGCAUAACAUUCAGCCUCGUGAUGGCAAUGCUCAGGCAACAGAGGGACAAACAGAACACAAAACCAUGACGGACUUGCAAACAAGGCUGAAGAUGCCCAGAGAUGGCAACAAGAAAUUUCACAGCGCCAAACAAUGAACCUACUGUCAGUUAAUACCAGGGAGAGAAAUACUAUCACUGAAACUAUGAAGAAAGUCCUGGAAUCUAGGUAAGAGUGUAUUAUAAUUAUUAUAUAGUCUGUAAAUCUUUUAAUCUGGAAUCUCACAACUGAGCCACAGGAUUCUGUCAUCUUAGAAAUACGAGUUGCCUCAUAUCAGUUGGAUACCAGAUACUAUUAAUGCACUGAAGGUUAAGCAACAUGUUAUGCUCAUUUAGUGGUAGUGAGACAUACUAGCUUAGAUCAUUCUCCAUGACUAGACAACCUGAAAAAAAAAAAAAAAGUCCUUCAGAAGGAAAAUAUUCAGUGGAGUUUUCUGAAAUUUUCUUACUAGGAAGGUAUAGCCUGUGCGUCAUUUACUGUCUCAUUAUAGAGUACUUGGAGCUUUAUUGGGAUAAGAGUUUGUGCCACACAGUCACACAUGUACCUGUCCCUGGGAUCCGGCUCUUUCCUCCAGUUUCUCUGUUCCUCUCCCCAGGCUUCUAGGAUUCUGUGUAGUUUUUUUCUGCUCCAUAACAGAUGUAGCAAGAAUCUUAUGUGCUCAUCACUUUCUUUUAUAAUUUCUUAGAAGUGUUGAAGUUUUUGUUCACAGUAAACUGUGAAUGAGAAUUAAAUGUUUCUGUUAAAAAAAAAGAAAAAAAAAACUUUUCAAAUAUGUCAUCUUAUGUGAAUAUUCCAAAGGGAUGCAGAUGGUCAGAAAAUGAAGGAAGCAGUCGUGGGUUUUGUUUGAUUUUCUGAAACAACUGUUGCUUAACUCAUAAAGUAGUGAACUGUCUACCAAAGGCAAUACACUCACCUUUUUAUAUUAAUAAACAUCCUUCAGAUGGCUUGGCA
rnacentral:lncRNA from 1 species